GUGGGGAAUUUUGGACAAUGGGCGCAAGCCUGAUCCAGCAAUGCCGCGUGCAGGAAGAAGGCCUUCGGGUUGUAAACUGCUUUUGUACGGAACGAAACGGUCCGGGUUAAUACCCUGGACUAAUGACGGUACCGUAAGAAUAAGCACCGGCUAACUACGUGCCAGCAGCCGCGGUAAUACGUAGGGUGCAAGCGUUAAUCGGAAUUACUGGGCGUAAAGCGUGCGCAGGCGGUUUUGUAAGACAGGCGUGAAAUCCCCGGGCUCAACCUGGGAAUUGCGCUUGUGACUGCAAGGCUGGAGUGCGGCAGAGGGGGAUGGAAUUCCGCGUGUAGCAGUGAAAUGCGUAGAUAUGCGGAGGAACACCGAUGGCGAAGGCAAUCCCCUGGGCCUGCACUGACGCUCAUGCACGAAAGCGUGGGGAGCAAACAGGAUUAGAUACCCGUGUAGUCC
rnacentral:rRNA from 1 species